rnacentral:rRNA from 1 species
GAUGAACGCUGGCGGCGUGCUUAACACAUGCAAGUCGAACGGUGAAGCCCAGCUUGCUGGGUGGACUAGUGGCGAACGGGUGAGUAACACAUGAGUAACCUCCCCUUGACUCUGGGAUAAGUCUGGGAAACUGGGCCUAUUACUCGAUAUGUCUUCUCAUCGCAUGGGGGGGGGUGGGGAGAUUUCUUGGUCUUGGAUGGACUCGCGGCCUAUCAGCUUGUUGGUGUGGUAAUGGCUCACCAAGGCGACGACGGGUAGCCGGCCUGAGAGGGUGACCGGCCACACUGGGACUGAGACACGGCCCAGACUCCUACGGGAGGCAGCAGUGGGGAAUAUUGCACAAUGGGCGCAAGCCUGAUGCAGCGACGCCGCGUGAGGGAUGACGGCCUUCGGGUUGUAAACCUCUUUCAGUAGGGAAGAAGCGAGAGUGACGGUACCUGCAGAAGAAGCGCCGGCUAACUACGUG